ACAAUGGGCGAAAGCCUGAUGCAGCGACGCCGCGUGAGGGAUGACGGCCUUCGGGUGUAAACCUCUUUCAGCUCCGAAGAAGCGCAAGUGACGGUAGGAGCAGAAGAAGCACCGGCUAACUACGUGCCAGCAGCCGCGGUAAUACGUAGGGUGCAAGCGUUGUCCGGAAUUAUUGGGCGUAAAGAGCUCGUAGGCGGUGUGUCGCGUCUGCUGUGAAAACUCAGGGCUCAACUCUGAGCUUGCAGUGGGUACGGGCACACUUGAGUGCUGUAGGGGAGACUGGAAUUCCUGGUGUAGCGGUGAAAUGCGCAGAUAUCAGGAGGAACACCGGUGGCGAAGGCGGGUCUCUGGGCAGUUACUGACGCUGAGGAGCGAAAGCAUGGGGAGCGAACAGGAUUAGAUACCCUGGUAGUCCAUGCCGUAAACGUUGGGCGCUAGGUGUGGGGUCCAUUCCACGGAUUCCGUGCCGCAGCUAACGCAUUAAGCGCCCCGCCUGGGGAGUACGGCCGCAAGGCUAAAACUCAAAGGAAUUGACGGGGGCCCGCACAAGCGGCGGAGCAUGCGGAUUAAUUCGAUGCAACGCGAAGAACCUUACCAAGGCUUGACAUGCGCGGUGGAAUCCCAGAGAUGGGGUGUCAUUUAGUUGGUCGCGUACAGGUGGUGCAUGGUUGUCGUCAGCUCGUGUCGUGAGAUGUUGGGUUAAGUCCCGCAACGAGCGCAACCCUCGUUCCAUGUUGCCAGCAAUUCGGUUGGGGACUCAUGGGAGACUGCCGGGGUCAACUCGGAGGAAGGUGGGGAUGACGUCAAAUCAUCAUGCCCCUUAUGUCUUGGGCUUCACGCAUGCUACAAUGGCCAGUACAGAGGGCUGCGAUACCGUGAGGUGGAGCGAAUCCCAAAAAGCUGGUCUCAGUUCGGAUCGGGGUCUGCAACUCGACCCCGUGAAGUCGGAGUCGCUAGUAAUCGCAGAUCAGCAACGCUGCGGUGAAUACGUUCCCGGGCCUUGUACACACUUCCCGUCA
rnacentral:rRNA from 1 species